AUUGAACGCUGGCGGCAGGCCUAACACAUGCAAGUCGAACGCGUCGCGGACGGGUGAGUAAUGUCUGGGACAGUGCCUGAUGGGGGGGGAUAACUACUGGAAAGGGUAGCAUAUACCGCAUACCCUCAGAUGUGCCCAUAUGGGAUUAGCUAGUAGGUGGGGUAAUGGCACACCUAGGCGACGAUCCCUAGCUGGUCUGAGAGGAUGACCAGCCACACUGGGACUGAGACACGGUCCAGACUCCUACGGGAGGCAGCAGUGGGGAAUAUUGCACAAUGGGCGCAAGCCUGAUGCAGCCAUGCCGCGUGUAUGAAGAAGGCCUUCGGGUUGUAAAGUACUUUCAGUGGGGAGGCGUUACCCGCAGAAGAAGCACCGGCUAACUCCGUGCCAGCAGCCGCGGUAAUUC
rnacentral:rRNA from 1 species